UACGUAGGUGGCAAGCGUUGUCCGGAAUCACUGGGCGUAAAGCGCGCGCAGGCGGCGAUCUACGUCUGGGGUGAAAGCCCGGAGCUCAACUCCGGGACUGCCUUGGAUACGGGAUCGCUUGAGGAUUGGAGAGGCAAGGGGAAUUCCACGUGUAGCGGUGAAAUGCGUAGAUAUGUGGAGGAAUACCGAUGGCGAAGGCAGCCUCCUGGGCCAACACUGACGCUCAUGCACGAAAGCGUGGGGAGCAAACAGG
rnacentral:rRNA from 1 species